UAUGCAAUUGAGAGGCCAUGCUGCUGCUGCUGCUGCUGAGUCGCUUCAGUCAUGUCCGACUCUGUGCUACCUCAUAGAUGGCAGCCCACCAGGCUCCCCCGUCCCUGGGAUUCUCCAGCUCUUGAUGUGGCACUUAUGUUUUUGGUCAAGCCAGAAGACAUUUGGAAGAAAGACUAGUAAAUACAGACAAGGGCUGGUGAGCAGGUGCUCAGGGAGGCCAUCUGCCAUGGUUACAGAGAAAGAUCCCACAAUGGAAACCACCCACAGUAAACCCAAGCAUGGUGCUUGCUGCAGCUGCUGCUAAGUCACUUCAGUCGUGUCUGACUCUGUGUGACCCCAUAGACGGCAGCCCAACAGGCUCCUCCAUCCCUGGGAUUCUCCAAGCAAGAACACUGGAGUGGGUUGCCAUUUCCUUCUCCAAUGCAUGAAAGUGAAAAGUGAAAGUGAAGUCGUGUCUGACUUUUCGCGAUCCCAUGGACUGCAGUCUACCAGGCUCCUCCGUCCAUGGGAUUUUCCAGGCAAGAGUACUGGAGUGGGGUGCCAUCUCUUAGCACAGUAUAAAUUCUCAAGAAAUGUUAAUCAUUAUU
ensembl:lncRNA